UAGGGAAUCUUCCGCAAUGGGCGAAAGCUUGACGGAGCAACGCCGCGUGAGUGAUGAAGGUCUUCUGAUCGUAAAACUCUGUUAUUAGGGAAGAACAAAUGUGUAAGUAACUAUGCACGUCUUGACGGUACCUAAUCAGAAAGCCACGGCUAACUACGUGCCAGCAGCCGCGGUAAUACGUUGGUGGCAAGCGUUAUCCGGAAUUAUUGGGCGUAAAGCGCGCGUAGGCGGUUUUUUAAGUCUGAUGUGAAAGCCCACAGCUCAACCGUAGAGGGUCAUUGGAAACUGGAAAACUUGAGUGCAGAAGAGGAAAGUGGAAUUCCAUGUGUAGCGGUGAAAUGCGCAGAUAUAUGGAGGAACACCAGUGGCGAGGGCGACUUUCUGGUCUGUAACUGACGCUGAUGUGCGAAAGCGUGGGGAUCAAACAGG
rnacentral:rRNA from 1 species